AUAUCAGUCAUGCAUAGCAUAUCAAUAAGCGGAGGAAAAGAAACUAACAAGGAUUCCCUUAGUAACGGCGAGUGAAGCGGGAAGAGCUCAAAUUUGAAAUCUUCAAGGUUUUACCUUGACGAAUUGUAGUUUAGAGAAGUGUUUUCUGUUGGAGUUUUGGUAAAAGUUCUUUGGAAUAGGACAUCAUAGAGGGUGAGAAUCCCGUAUUUGACCAUUAUUUCCAGCUGUGUGAUACACUUUCAAAGAGUCGGAUUGUUUGGGAAUGCAGUCCAAAAUGGGUGGUAAAUUUCAUCUAAAGCUAAAUAUUGGCGAGAGACCGAUAGCGAACAAGUACCGUGAGGGAAAGAUGAAAAGAACUUUGAAAAGAGAGUUAAACAGUACGUGAAAUUGUCAAAAGGGAAGCGUUUGACACCAGUGUUGUUUUCUCGAAAAUCAAUUAAAAAUGAUGGGAUUUUGUGUUGUAUUGACUUUAUCAGCUUUCUGCACUUUUUUCUUAUCUUUUUUAAUGCACUUUUCGUUUAACAAGUCAACAUCAAUUUCUUUUGUUGUAAAAGAGUCAUUGGAAGGUGGCUUUUUCUUCGGAAAAAGUGUUUAUAGCCUUUGACUUCUGCAAUCGGAGAGAUUGAGGUCUGCAGCGUAGAUCCUUCGGGGUUAGAUACAUUUGCUGCUAAGUUAUAGUUCUUUCAUAGACAACUUGUUGACUAUAAUUCAAUCCUUGUAACUUACUCGCUUAUGCUAUUUUACCUACGCUUAGGAUGUUGAUGUGAUACUGCGAGC
rnacentral:rRNA from 1 species